rnacentral:rRNA from 1 species
GGUCAAGUUAUUAAGGGUGCAGGGCGGAUGCCUUGGCACUAGGAGCCGAUGAAGGACGUGAUAAGCUGCGAUAAGCUUCGGGGAGUUGCACGUAAACUUUGAUCCGAAGAUUUCCGAAUGAGGAAACUCACUUAGAGUAAUGUCUAAGUAUCAUUAAGUGAAUACAUAGCUUAAUGAGGGGAACUCAGGGAACUGAAACAUCUAAGUACCUGAAGGAAGAGAAAGAAAUUCGAUUCCGUAAGUAGCGGCGAGCGAACGCGGAUUAGCCCAAACCAAUAAAGUUUUCUUUAUUGGGGUUGCGGACAUAUCAUAACGAAGAGGUAUCGUAAUUGAAGAGGUUUGGAAAGACCCACCACAGAAGGUAAUAGUCCUGUAUGUUAAACGAGAAGACUUCAGAUAUGAUCCAGAGUACCACGGGACACGUGAAACCCUGUGGGAAGCAGGAGGGACCACCCUCCAAGGCUAAAUACUACCUAGUGACCGAUAGCGUAUAGUACCGUGAGGGAAAGGUGAAAAGAACCCCGGGAGGGAGUGAAAUAGAACCUGAAACCCUGCACUUACAAGCUGUGGAAGCACAUUUCUUGUGUGACCGCGUACUUUUUGUAGAACGGGCCAACGAGUUACGUUAAGUAGCAAGGUUAAGCACUUAAGGUGUGGAGCCGUAGCGAAAGCGAGUUUUAACUGAGCGUUCAGUUACUUGACGUAGACCCGAAACCGGGCGACCUACCCAUGAGCAGGAUGAAGCGAAAGUAAAAUUUCGUGGAGGUCCGAACCCACGAGCGUUGAAAAGCUCGGGGAUGACUUGUGGGUAGCGGUGAAAUUCCAAUCGAGCCCGGAGAUAGCUGGUUCUCCCCGAAAUAGCUUUAGGGCUAGCCUCAAGGUGAGAGAUACGGAGGUAGAGCACUGAAUGUCCUAGGGGGUAUUGCACCUACCGAAGACUAUCAAACUCCGAAUGCCGUCAUCUUAUACUUGGGAGUCAGACUGUGGGUGAUAAGAUUCAUAGUCGAAAGGGCAACAGCCCAGAUCGUCAGCUAAGGUCCCUAAAUGUAAGUUAAGUGGUAAAGGAUGUGGGAUUGCACAGACAACCAGGAUGUUGGCUUAGAAGCAGCCACUCAUUCAAAGAGUGCGUAAUAGCUCACUGGUCGAGUGAUCCUGCGCCGAAGAUUUCCGGGGCUAAAACUUACUACCGAAGCUACGGCAUCAGUAAUGAUGGGUAGGGGAGCUUCCCAUACGGGUUGAAGCAUGACCGUAAGGACAUGUGGACAGUAUGGGAGUGAGAAUGUUGGCAUGAGUAGCGAGAUGUGGGUGAGAAUCCCACAGGCCGUAAACCCAAGGUUUCCAGGGGAAGGUUCGUCCGCCCUGGGUUAGUCGGGACCUAAGCUGAGGCCGAAAGGCGUAGGUGAUGGACAACAGGUUGAUAUUCCUGUACUACCGAUAACCGUUUGAGAGAAGGGAUGACACAGUAGGAUAAGCUAAGCACACUGUUGGUUAUGUGUGCCCAAGCAUUGAGGCAGUCAAAGUAGGCAAAUCCGCUUUGAUAAUGCUGGGAUGUGAUGGGGAGCGAAAUUUAGUAGCGAAGUAGCUGAUUUCACACUGUCAAGAAAAGUCUCUAUCGAGGUUAAAGGUACCCGUACCGCAAACCGACACAGGUGGGUGAGGAGAGUAUCCUAAGGCCAGCGAGAGAACUGUUGUUAAGGAACUCGGCAAAAUGACCCCGUAACUUAGGGAUAAGGGGUGCCACCAUCAGGUGGCCGCAGAGAAUAGGCCCAAGCGACUGUUUACCAAAAACAUAGGUUUCUGCUAAGUCGCAAGACGAUGUAUAGGAGCUGACGCCUGCCCGGUGCUGGAAGGUUAAGGGGAUCUGUUAGAGCAAUCGAAGCAGUGAACUUAAGCCCCAGUAAACGGCGGCCGUAACUAUAACGGUCCUAAGGUAGCGAAAUUCCUUGUCGGGUAAGUUCCGACCCGCACGAAAGGCGUAACGAUUUGGGCACUGUCUCAACAACAGACUCGGUGAAAUUGUAAUUCCGGUGAAGAUGCCGGAUACCUGCGACAGGACGGAAAGACCCCAUGGAGCUUUACUGUAGCUUGACAUUGGGUCUUGGUACUACAUGUACAGGAUAGGUGGGAGGCUUUGAAACCAGGACGCCAGUUUUGGCGGAGCCAUCCUUGGGAUACCACCCUUGUAGUACUGGGACUCUAACCAUAGGCCAUGAAUCUGGUCUUGGGACACUGUCAGGUGGGCAGUUUGACUGGGGCGGUCGCCUCCCAAAAGGUAACGGAGGCGCUCAAAGGUUCUCUCAGUACGGUCGGAAAUCGUACGUAGAGUGUAAAGGCAAAAGAGAGCUUGAUUGCAAGACAUACAGGUCGAGCAAGGAUGAAAAUCGGACUUAGUGAUCCGGUGGUUCUGCGUGGAAGGGCCAUCGCUCAACGGAUAAAAGCUACCCUGGGGAUAACAGGCUUAUCUCCCCCAAGAGUCCACAUCGACGGGGAGGUUUGGCACCUCGAUGUCGGCUCAUCACAUCCUGGGGCUGUAGUAGGUCCCAAGGGUUGGGCUGUUCGCCCAUUAAAGUGGUACGCGAGCUGGGUUCAGAACGUCGUGAGACAGUUCGGUCCCUAUCCGUCGCAGGCGUAGGAAAUUUGAGAAGACCUGUCCUUAGUACGAGAGGACCGGGAUGGACGUACCUCUGGUGUACCAGUUGUUCUGCCAAGGGCAUGGCUGGGUAGCUAUGUACGGAAUGGAUAAGCGCUGAAAGCAUCUAAGCGCGAAGCCAACUUCAAGAUAAGAUUUCCCACCGCAAGGGUAAGACCCCAGAAAGACUAUCUGGUUGAUAGGUCGAAGGUGUAAGUGCAGCAAUGUAUUUAGCUUAUCGAUACUAAUAGGUCGAGGACUUGACCAA